AAGUCGAACGCUGAACCGGUUUCGGCCGGGGAUGAGUGGCGAACGGGUGAGUAACACGUGGGUAAUCUGCCCUGUACUCUGGGAUAAGCCUGGGAAACUGGGUCUAAUACCGGAUACGACCACUGCAGGCAUCUGUGGUGGUGGAAAGUUCCGGCGGUAUGGGAUGAACCCGCGGCCUAUCAGCUUGUUGGUGGGGUAAUGGCCUACCAAGGCGACGACGGGUAGCCGGCCUGAGAGGGUGACCGGCCACACUGGGACUGAGACACGNNNNNNNNNNNNNN
rnacentral:ncRNA from 1 species